GAUGAACGCUGGCGGCGUGCCUAACACAUGCAAGUCGAGCGAUUCUCUUCGGAGAAGAGCGGCGGACGGGUGAGUAACGCGUGGGUAACCUGCCCUGUACACACGGAUAACAUACCGAAAGGUAUGCUCAUACGAGAUAAUAUGCCUUUGUCGCAUGGUAGCAGUAUCAAAGCUCCGGCGGUACAGGAUGGACCCGCGUCUGAUUAGCUAGUUGGUAAGGUAACGGCUUACCAAGGCGACGAUCAGUAGCCGACCUGAGAGGGUGAUCGGCCACAUUGGAACUGAGACACGGUCCAAACUCCUACGGGAGGCAGCAGUGGGGAAUAUUGCACAAUGGGCGAAAGCCUGAUGCAGCAACGCCGCGUGAGCGAUGAAGGCCUUCGGGUCGUAAAGCUCUGUCCUCAAGGAAGAUAAUGACGGUACUUGAGGAGGAAGCCCCGGCUAACUACGUGCCAGCAGCCGCGGUAA
rnacentral:rRNA from 1 species